UUAAUUUUUUUGCGCCGGUUUAAAAGCUCGUGUUUGGAUUUUGGUUAAGAGGGCGCGGUCCGCCGUUUGGUCUGUACUGCGUAAAUUGACUUCCUGAUGAGGACAUGCUCUUGGUUAACGCUGCCCCAUGGAGGCAUCGUGGUUACUUUGAAAAAAUUAGAGUGUUCAAAGCGGGCUUACGCUUGAAUAUAUUAUCAUGGAAUAACACUAUAGGACUCCUGUCCUAUCUCGUUGGUCUCGGGAUGGCAGUAAUGAUUAAGAAGAACAGUUGGGGGCAUUCGUAUUUCAUUGUCGGAGGUGAAAAUCUUGGAUUAAUGAAAGACGAACUUCUGCCAAAGCAUUUGCCAACGAUGAUUUCAUUUGUCAUCAAUAAAAGUUGGGGGCUCGGAGAUGAUUAGAUGACAUCCUACUCUCCACCAUAAGCGAUGCCCACACCGGUUGUUGGUAUGUUAAUUGAUGACUUCUUCAGCCCGCUUCUGAGCAUCAAUGAUUUCGGGUUCCGGGGGGAGUAUGGUCGCAAGGCUGACACCUAAAGGCACUCACGGAAAGUACCCUCCAGCCGGGGUCCCGGACGUCAGCAGGGCCCCCCCCGGGAGCCUCGCACGCCCGGGACUGGAGCGAUUGCCGCAUAUUACCGGGCUGAUUCUGUACCUGGGGGAAGAGUACCUCUGAGUUAGUAAGAUCAUUCGUCGGGGGGAUGCGAUAACAAGCCAGUUACCCUGUUGUGUGGGAGAGGUGCACCCUGCUGGGGGGCCAGCCCUUCCAGAGAGAAAAGUACGCUGAAUGCGCGAAUAUGAACAGAG
rnacentral:rRNA from 1 species